UACAGAGGUCUCAACCGUUGUUCGGAUUCAUUGGGCGUAAAGGGUGCGUAGGCGGUCGUGCAAGUCGGAUGUGAAAUCUCAGGGCUCAACCCUGAAACUGCAUUCGAUACUGCGUGGCUAGAGUGCUGGAGAGGAGACUGGAAUUUACGGUGUAGCAGUGAAAUGCGUAGAUAUCGUAAGGAAGACCAGUGGCGAAGGCGAGUCUCUGGACAGCAACUGACGCUGAGGCGCGAAAGCCAGGGGAGCAAACGGG
rnacentral:rRNA from 1 species